GGAUGCGAUCAUACCAGCACUAAAGCACCGGAUCCCAUUAGAACUUCGAAGUUAAGCGUGCUUGGGCGAGAGUAGUACUAGGAUGGGUGACCUCCUGGGAAGUCCUCAUGUUGCAUUCC
rnacentral:rRNA from 1 species